rnacentral:sRNA from 1 species
GCCAGGUGUAGUGGUGCAUGCCUGUAAUCCCAGCAUCUCUGGAGGCUGAGGCAGGAGGAUGGCAAUUCCAAAGCCAGCUUCAG